AUAUUGCUAGCUAUUGAAUGACUAGGUAGAUCAGAGACAUAGUUUUUCUCAAGCUGAUUCUCUUCUAUUUUUUGGUAAUUUAGUUCUUGAAGAACUGUAUAUUUGAGUUGUUAUUUUAGCAAUAUAUGUAUGAGUGUUUUUAUUUUCUGAAACGGUGAGUUGUAGAUUUCACGCAGCCCAUUAUUUCUUAUUCUUCUAUUUUUCUCCUAAUCUGGAUAUUGUUAGUUAUUCUUUCUCAUCUCUCGAUCUAUGUUGUUAUUCGACUACUUUUUGUCUGUCGUUGUUCGAUUCGAAAGCGCCGGAGGUUAAUUUAUCGAUCCAUCGGCUCGGCUCUUCAAUUUAUUUGUACGUUUUGUAGUUAUUCAUAGAUUUGAAGACUUAUGGUUUCAAUCUGUGAACUUUAUUGAAUUUUUCUUUAGGAUAUUCAAUUUGAAAGUUUGGAGGUUGUGUUUUUGUAAUUUGUGUCAAAAUCCUGCAUUGCUUCAGUGUUGUAUAUGGGUUUAAUUUGUUUUAUGUUUUUUUUAUGAAGUUAGGGCUUUUGAUAGUUGUGAGGAUUGAAGCAGUUGAAAUAUGUGCAUCCAUAGCCCCGAGAAAAGGGAGAGUUAGGGUUUGUGACUUUUGGGGGAAUUGUUUGAACUUCCAUGGGCGAUGUCAGCGUUGCAUGUGUUCCUUCGCAGCAUAUUAUGGAGCAAUUUUCUAUUUUUCCCCUAAUCAUAUAUUUGGUUCACAGAACAUUCAGUUGUUGGACAAUCUAUAAGUUUUUUAUUUUUUUUAUUUUUAAUAACAUCAUUUGUUUGCUUCUAAUGUUUUUAAGCUUGGAGAUUAUAAAAUUUUGUCUGUCUAAAUGUUUUUAAAAUUGAUGUUAGCGAUUUUCAUAGCCGAUGUGAAUAAUAUAUUUAGAAGAAAUAAGGAGAGAAAAAGCGAGAGAGACUGGGAUGAAGGGGAUAGUAGGAAGAAGAUAGGGG
rnacentral:lncRNA from 1 species